rnacentral:rRNA from 1 species
ACAAAUCGCGGCACCGGCUCCAUUAAUCCAGUGAUGAUCACCUCUUCAGCGAGGCAUAUUCGGCUUCCCACCCCGCAUUUCGCCAAGCCCAAGCGCCACCGCCGCUCAGGCCCAGCCCGCAUGGACCCCACCGACCAGUCGCCGGAGGAGGUGUACUCCGUGUGGGCCCUCCCGCCGGAGCCCGUCCGCGACCGCCUCCGCGGCCUCAUGGCCGGCCUCCGCGCCGCGCACGGCGGCCCGCCCUUCGAGCCGCACGCCACCGUCGUCGGCGCCGUGCGCAUGCGCCGCCCCGCCGCAAUCCAGGCCCUCCGCGCCGCCGCUGCGGCCGCCGACGUCGCCCCCUACACCGCCCGCGUCACCGGCGUCGCCCGCGGCGACUUCUUCUACCAGUGCGUCUACCUCCUCCUCGAGCCCACCCCCGAGGUGAUCCACACAAGCGACCACUUCUGCGCCCACUUCGGGUUUCAGAGAUCAACCCCAUAUAUGCCACAUGUAAGCCUCUUGUAUGGGGAUCUAACAGACGAAGAGAAGGAAGCAGCAAGGAAGAAAGUAGAGGAAAUGGACAGUGAAAUUUCUGGACUGCAGUUCGAGAUCUCCGAGCUCGCACUUUAUCGAACCGACACCGAGGAUAAAAGCUUGGAGUCCUGGGAACUGGUGGAGGUAUGCCACCUUGGGAAGAAGUGAUCGGUUCCUCCCGAUGAUAUGCUUCUGCUGUAAGUUGUGACUGCUCUUGGGGUCUUGUAAUAUUAUGUUUUCACCUUUAAGUGUUUGAUGUAAUGAUGUGAAUGUCUAGCACCCCUGUUGCUUUGAAUAAGGAAUAAUGUGAACAUUGGACCUACCUUGGGGCUUACCUUGCCACUUGUGGGUUUUAAUACAAAGUUGACCAAUAUUGCCUUUCGUCUAAAAUAUAUCUUGGGAUUUCUUUCAAAAAUAACUUUGAUGAUUUACAGUGUGUUGAUUUAUUCAAUAGAACUUGUUGAAAUGCAAAGCAGGUGCUCAGAACUAUAAACUAGUUGAGCUUAACUAACAUUGUAAAAGCCUGAGUUUAUCUUUUGUAUUCCCUCAAGAAUACUUUCCAUGAUCAGAUGAUUAACUAAUGACUGAGAUAUAUCCCAUCAAGCUCAUCAUAGCUGAAGACGCAUAUAAUGCUGCAUAUUUAGGUGACACAAGACAUUCUAUGUACUGCACAUUAUUUGUGAUGCAGCACUACAGUACCGCAUACAAUGGUCAGUACUCUGUACUAUCUAGUCC